GGCUUUUUGUAAUUAAUUUAAGGUCGGGCCUGCUCAAUGAGGAUUUAAAUAGCCGCGGUAUUUUGACCGUGCGAAGGUAGCAUAAUCAUUAGUUUUUUAAAUGGAAGCUAGAAUGAAGGGUUUGAUGAAAAAAUGACUGUCUCUAUUUAAUUUUUUUAAGAAAUUUAUUUUUAAGUUAAAAAGCUUAAAUUUUUAUUAAAGACGAGAAGACCCUAUAGAGUUUUAUAUUAUAAGAAAUUAAUAUUAUUUAGUAUUUAGUAAUUUGAUUUUUGAAAGUAUUUAAUUGGGGUGAUUAAAAAAUUUAAUAAACUUUUUUUAUAAUAAUACAUUUAUUUAUGAAUAUUUGAUCCUUAUAAAAGAUUAAAAGAUAAAAUUACCUUAGGGAUAACAGCGUAAUAUUUCUUAGAGUUCUUAUCAAAAGAAGUGAUUGCGACCUCGAUGUUGGAUUAAAUUAUAAUAUUGGUGUAGUAGCUGGUAUAAAGAGUCUGUUCGACUUUGAAAAUUUUACAUGAUCUGAGUUUAAACCGGUGUAA
rnacentral:rRNA from 1 species